rnacentral:rRNA from 1 species
GAUAAACGCUGGCGGCGUGCCUAAUACAUGCAAGUCGAUCGCUGGAAUUCAAGCUUGCUUGAAUGAAGGAGAGGCGAACGGGUGAGUAAUACAUAAGCAACCUGCCCACGAAGACUGGGAUAAUUCCUGGAAACGGGGACUAAUACCGGAUAGGCAAUAAUGACGCAUGUCAAUAUUGUUAAAGGUUAAAAACACUGGUGGAUGGGCUUAUGGCGCAUUAGUUAGUUGGUGAGGUAACGGCCCACCAAGACGAUGAUGCGUAGCCGGCCUGAGAGGGUGAACGGCCACAUUGGGACUGAGACACGGCCCAGACUCC